rnacentral:rRNA from 1 species
CCUACGGGAGGCAGCAGUGGGGAAUAUUGCACAAUGGGGGAAACCCUGAUGCAGCGACGCCGCGUGAGUGAUGAAGUAUUUCGGUACGUAAAGCUCUAUCAGCAGGGAAGAAAAUGACGGUACCUGACUAAUAAGCCCCGGCCAACUACGUGCCAGCAGCCGCGGUAAUACGUAGGGGGCAAGCGUUAACCGGAAUUAAUGGGUGGAAAGGGAGCGGAGACGGGUGCGCAAGUCUGGUGUGAAAUCCCAUGGCUUAACCAUGGAACUGCUUUGGAAACUGGGCAGCUAGAGUGCAGGAGAGGUAAGCGGAAUUCCUGGUGUAGCGGUGAAAUGCGUAGAUAUUAGGAGGAACACCAGUGGCGAAGGCGGCUUACUGGACUGUAACUGACGUUGAGGCUCGAAAGCGUGGGGAGCAAACAGGAUUAGAUACCCCUGUAGUC